rnacentral:rRNA from 1 species
CCUACGGGAGGCAGCAGUGGGGAAUCUUGCGCAAUGGGCGAAAGCCUGACGCAGCCAUGCCGCGUGAAUGAUGAAGGUCUUAGGAUUGUAAAAUUCUUUCACCGGGGACGAUAAUGACGGUACCCGGAGAAGAAGCCCCGGCUAACUUCGUGCCAGCAGCCGCGGUAAUACGAAGGGGGCUAGCGUUGCUCGGAAUUACUGGGCGUAAAGGGAGCGUAGGCGGAUAGUUUAGUCAGAGGUGAAAGCCCAGGGCUCAACCUUGGAAUUGCCUUUGAUACUGGCUAUCUUGAGUAUGGGAGAGGUAUGCGGAACUCCGAGUGUAGAGGUGAAAUUCGUAGAUAUUCGGAAGAACACCAGUGGCGAAGGCGGCAUACUGGCCCAUUACUGACGCUGAGGCUCGAAAGCGUGGGGAGCAAACAGGAUUAGAUACCCUGGUAGUCCACGCUGUAAACGAUGAGUGCUAGUUGUCGGCAUGCAUGCAUGUCGGUGACGCAGCUAAACGCAUUAAGCACUCCGCCUGGGGAGUACGGUCGCAAGAUUAAAAACUCAAAAGGAAUUGACGG